AGUGAACGCUGGCGGUAGGCCUAACACAUGCAAGUCGAACGGCAGCACAGUAAGAGCUUGCUCUUACGGGUGGCGAGUGGCGGACGGGUGAGGAAUACAUCGGAAUCUACUUUUUCGUGGGGGAUAACGUAGGGAAACUUACGCUAAUACCGCAUACGACCUACGGGUGAAAGCAGGGGAUCUUCGGACCUUGCGCGAUUGAAUGAGCCGAUGUCGGAUUAGCUAGUUGGCGGGGUAAAGGCUCACCAAGGCGACGAUCCGUAGCUGGUCUGAGAGGAUGAUCAGCCACACUGGAAAUGAGACACGGUCCAGACUCCUACGGGAGGCAGCAGUGGGGAAUAUUGGACAGUGGGCGCAAGCCUGAUCCAGCCAUACCGCGUGGGUGAAGAAGGCCUUCGGGUUGUAAAGCCCUUUUGUUGGGAAAGAAAAGCAGCAGGUUAAUACCCCGCUGUUCUGACGGUACCCAAAGAAUAAGCACCGGCUAACUUCGU
rnacentral:rRNA from 1 species